AUCCAACUGACGAGUCGCGAAUACGACAAAACGCGCGUCUCGUAU
rnacentral:hammerhead_ribozyme from 1 species